rnacentral:lncRNA from 1 species
CCAACUAGUCAAAUAUCGACGUCGUGUAUUAAAGGAGAUAGGCUCUCCAUUUUAAUCCCUGAAGACGGAUACCUUAUCUGCCUAGUCUGAACUAGUCUAGUGCCUCAGACCCUGAUGGGUUGGGGGAGUGUUUUUUCAUAAGUUUUGGGUUAUAUAAAGGUGGAUGUGUGUAAUGUUGUCACCUAAUUCUUCACCACUGGAUGGCUCCUUCCUAACUUUAAUUCUUGCACUAUCAUUCUGAUUCUCAAGACAAAAG